UGCCAGUUGGUAGCACAGCUCCUGUUUGGAAACAGUUCAGUCGCAGGAAAGCGAACUUGUACAGCAGCUGUACGAAUUGGACAAGUCCACAUCCAGUCCUGAGCUACCUCCACCAAUUCAGAGCGAAAACGGCAGCUUUUGUUUUGGACGGAAAGAACAUACAGCCAAAAGACAACUAUGGAUGUAAAUUUGGUAUCUGGAGAGAAACCUCAAUAUGUCACACCUGAAGUGGCCAGGGAAACCUCAAGUGGCAAUCCUUCAAUGGGAGAGAGAACGUAUGAAAAGUCACAGCCAAAAGGAAACAGGACAAAGGCAUUUCAAUCCCCCUGCGAAGCCAACUAUCUCAAAGUCACUCACCUACGAACAUCCCAGCUACUGGAUCAACCAACUUGG